GAAGGUGGCAAGCGUUGUUCGGAAUCACUGGGCUUAAAGCGCGCGUAGGCGGAAAUGUAAGUGUCUUGUGAAAUCCCUCGGCUUAACCGAGGAACUGCUCGGCAAACUACGUCUCUUGAGGCAAGUAGGGGUACAUGGAACUCUUGGUGGAGCGGUGGAAUGCGUAGAUAUCAAGAGGAACGCCAAAGGUGAAGACAGUGUACUGGGCUUGUCCUGACGCUGAGGUGCGAAAGCGUGGGGAGCGAACGGGGGAUUAGAUACCCCGGUAGUCCACGCCGUAAACGAUGUCUACUAGGUUGUGGGUGUUCUGACACACUCGCAGUCGGAGCAAAAGUGUUAAGUAGACCGCCUGGGGAGUACGGUCGCAAGGCUA
rnacentral:rRNA from 1 species